AUUUCUCUACCUUUCUCCUAAAUUUUUUCCCGCUUUUUCCCCAUUCUGCCUCGUUCCCACAUGUAUUCUGUUUGUGUUGUUAGCGUGUUGGAUUCCGUCUUUUUCUGUAUCGUUCCCACAUUCGUUCCGUUUGUAGAAUCCAUUCACAAUACUCAGGUUAGGCUUUAAUCCUUCGUUUGUUGUAUUUUGAUUUUCCAUUGAACUUCGUCUUAGUUCAGAAGUUGCUGAAAUUGUUUCACCCAUUGCUGGUUUAGAACAUUGAAGUGAAGCAUUUAAUGUCGCUGCUUCUGUCAGGAUCUCCUCCUCCAAAUCUCAGUUCGAGCUCAUCGCCUCAGUAACGUCACCUCUCUCCCUCAUUUAUUCUGUUUUCGAAUUAGGGAUUUCUCAAAUGUGUUUCAUUAACCAUGCUUCACGCCUUUCUAGCAUUGCUAUAUCACUCAUAUAUUACACAAAUUAAUAAAUGUAGGUUUGCAUUUACUAAAAUAAUUCAAUUUCCUCAAUAAAUGCAUUCAUAUAUUGAUGUGAUUUAUUAGGGAGAAAAUCAGACAAAAAGAUAAAAAUUUAUUGAAAACUAAGAACAUAAUUCAAUUUGUUUUUUUUAAGUAUUUGUUAAUAAGAUAAUAAACUAGUUCCAGUAUAUAGUCAUGUAUCUACCGGAGAAUGGAAAUAAUAUAUUUCCAAGGCUUCUAGUAAUUUGGUGGCGAUUUUAGACGGCUAAUUGCUAAAGCAGUGUUGGGGUUAUUUGGUCGAGGGAGACAAAUAAUUUGAAAUAUGUGUAGGAAUUUUGUAAACAUCCACAAUUUUUCAGGAAUUCAGUUUCUGUAAUUGUUAAAUUAAUACACUUCGCAUAUUAAAUUUUGGAACUUCUGGGUAUCAUAGUUAUGGGAAAUGUUUAGGUCGCCCAUUGGCUGUUAAUGAAAACAAUUUAUGAUUUUUUUUUUCACAAGACAAUCACAUAUAUUUAUCACUUAACUUGAAUUCUUCACUUUGGGAAGCCAUUUAUUUCUUUGGCUGAAUAAUUGUUAACCCAUGUUUAUUACACAUUCACUAAGACAAUUCAAAUGCUUCAAGUAUCUAUGCCGAGUAGCAAUCUCUCAGGCCCAAUUUGGUUUAUUCAACCUUCAUUAAACAUGAUCAUGGAAAAGCACAUGCCCCCAUCCGAUUAAGAGAUCCCUUCAUACCCUUUAGAGGGAGUGAGGUUUACAUUCUUAUUGCCCAAAGAGCUAAAAGCUUCAAUAGAUUCUUAUGAACAUUAUCUCAUUAACUCUUGAGCUAUUCUGACUUCGAUGAAGAUCUUGCUCCUGCAUCUAGAACAACAAUUCAAGGUCCAUUAUGACUUAAGAAUCGAUUUCCAGCUGAGAGUACAAGAGUUCAAUGGGACAUAAUCAACAUUUGGACAACUUGGACUCAUAAGUUUUUUCUUAUGGGGUUUUCUUGGUCCUAACCCAUGUGAUUGAGAAAUGGAAGAAUAAUAAUAGAGAAAUUGGACCCAUAUCAAUCUAAUAGUUUGCCGUAUGCAAGUGUAGUUUAUAAGAAUAAGUAGACCUUUUUUCCCCGAAAACACGUUAAUGUUUGACUUCAGUUUAUAAGUUUCAGUGAAUCAAUUUAUACGUUCAUGUUCACAUGUGGUUAAUUUUUUCUAUUUAACUUAUUUUUCUUAAAAAAAUAUUAUUCAGAGUUUAAGAUAAGAUGUUUAAUUUUUACUAGAGGCAACGUAAAAUUGAUUCUAGAUAAAAUACAUUUUUUUAAUGCUUUUAAGAUGUUGACUCACCAACCUAGCUAGUAGUAAACGUAGUUGUUAGUUGAAACUUUGACUCACUUGACGUAAGUAAACCUGUCUCAUUGUUUUUGGUGGGUGAAGGAUGAGUUGAUCCAUUUUGCAUUCAUAUGAUAUAAAGAUAAACAGAGAAAGUAGUAUUUAGAAAUAUUGAUCAUAUAAUUUAAUCACAUUGAGUAAUAAAAUAUUUGGAAGACACUAGUGAUAAGCUAUUUUAGAAACUGAGUUGUAUUUCUAAACUAUCGUGCAAGGAAAAGGAUCCUCUCUAAACUAUUGAGGACCUCUCCCAUAGUUGGCCUAUCCGUACUUCUACCAGCCAAGCACUGGAUGCCUAUCUCCACAAACGCCCUCAGGCAUUCUGGCCUAACAUUCCCUGCUAAAUGAGGAUCAACUAAUUCAUCAAUGCUUCCACACUUGUAACAGUGCAUGGCCCAUGUGGCCAACCCAACUUUCUCACUUUCCUCUUCCACUGCCACAGUAUUCACAGCUGCUCUUCCACACAACACCUCAAACAAAACCACUCCAAAUGAAUACACAUCAGAUUUUUGAGUCAGUUUUCUUCUCUUAUAGUACUCAGGGUCUAAAUAUCCAAAAGUACCUUUAACCUCAGUGCUAACAUGUGAAUGGUAAAGUGAGGGAACUGUUCUACACAAUCCAAAAUCUGCAAUCUUGGCUACCCAAUUCUGAUCCAAUAAUAUGUUGGCUGACUUCACAUCACGGUGAAUCACUGGGUGCCUUGUGCUAGUGUGGAGGUAAUGUAGUCCUCUAGCUGCACCAAUACAAAUCUUUAUUCUUUGAAUCCAAGGCAACGGCUGAUUUUUUUUCUUGUAUAAGUGGUCAGACAGAGGACCCUCAGCCAUGUAUUCAUACACCAGUAUCAUUUCAUUUCCCUCUUGGCAGUACCCUAGCAGUGAGACUAGAUUCAUGUGACAGAAUGAGAAAAAAUUGAUCUCAUUUUGAAACUCUUUAUAUCCUUGGCCAGAACUACGAAUAGAGCGCUUUACCGCGACAGCAAUGACUCCAUCAUGAUGCAUGAUGCCUCUGUACACCUUUCCGAAGCCUCCCUCCCCGAUGACAAGAGCUUCACUGAAGUUGCUUGUAGCUAUGCUGAUUUCUGCAAGUGUGAAUUGAUGGCAAAGACCUGAGGUUACUGUGGGUUGAAUGAUUUUGUGAGUACUACUAGAAUUUGAUGGGAGUAACUUCAAUUUUUUCCCUGCUCUGAGGAUAAGAAUGAAAAAUGUGAAGAGCAGUCCCAAGAUGGUACCUAAAGUAGCAACGGCCACAAUAAUGACAUGUUGAACCUUCUUUCUUUGUUCCCUUCUCAAUUGGAACAUUGCUGCCAGACUAUGAUUACUAUCACUUAUCUUCAUAAUCUCAAUUCCAUUCAGUAUGGCGUCAGCAUAUUUUGGUUUUGACUCCAAGUUAGGGUGAAGUGAGAUCCACAAAUCUUUCCUGCUCCCACUUUCCAUAGGAACCAUAACAAUAUAGUCCUUUUGCAAAGGAGUAAAUGGUGCUCCGGCUGAAGCAACUACGUCCAUUCUCUCCUCUGCUGUUUGGUUGUUUAUGUACACUUUGAACACCCUUUGAUUGGGCUGCGUUACCACCGUAGAGAUCUCACAGAAAUGAAGCCUAACAAGGUAUUUGAAUCCAGAAUCAACAGGGAAAGACCAUGUUAAAUUGUACUUCGUGUUAUCAUCUCCACCACUACCCAUUGUCCUGGCAGUCCAAUAUAGCUCUGAUGGUGCUGAAUAAUUGUAAUCCUUUGAAGAAGAAGUGGUGUAAUUCAAAUUUACAGUACGAGACUUUAUAUUGAGGACACUUCCAUAGUGUGAACCAGAUAUGUAUCUAAAAUCAUUUAACCAUAUUCCAAAAGCAUUUUGAGAAUCAACAUCUUCACCAACAUUGCUAACUCUGUAAAACGUCUCUAGAGCAUAUUCAUCAUUAGUCAAUAAAAUUUGCUGGUGCCCAAGGUAAGGAACAGGAACCUUGGAACCCGGAAAGUAUAUACUUUUGGGCACCGGGAAUGUCUCAAUGCCAUUUACAAAAGCAAAUGCUUUGGAAAUUAAAGGAGAUGGAGUAAAUGUAAUGGUCAGUUUGUCUUCCCUAACUUUGACUAAGAAAUCCUUGGUGAAAAACUUCGAGUUGAGCUCUUCUGCAAAAACAGAUGGAUUAAAAUCACUUACAAGAGUGUAGGGCCCCGCUUUUACAGAGAAAUAAGCCUUGUUGGAGGGGUUCAUCUUCAGAUAUAAAGAUGAAAGAAAGUAAAGGCGAAUGAAUUUAAGGCCAGGGGAGGAAGGGAAGGAGUAGGUCAAUGAAGAAUGAGUUAUUCUUGCUGUUGAGAAUGGAACUUUUGGGGCUAGAGAGUCUUCCAUGUUUGAGAGCAAGACUGCAGAUGAGCUCUUGUCAUACUCUGGAGGCAAGAAAUUAGAUCCGCUAUCUCCUAUCCAAUUUUCUCCAUUGAAUGAUGAUGCUUCAUAAGAACCACAGUUUAGGAGGAUUUUGUCCGGGACAUUAAUUGGAUCACAAGUGAUUAAAUGGAUGAAUGGUAAAAACAAAAAGAGGUGCAGUAGUACACAACUAGUGAUACCAUUCCUACUGGACUCUAUCAUGAGGGAUUCCAUCAUGGUGACGCAGGAAUAUGGCGUGAAGGCACAGAUUAUGAGUUCAUCUGUAAAAUUAUGUUAUCUAUAUAGCUAAGGUGUCCUCAAUUUGUUGUGUGGUCUACCUUUUUUGUAUUGAAAGGUCAACAAUGUCUUCUAGCUGGAGACAACCGGUCACCCUUGAAGAGUGAAGAUAUAUUUGGCCUUUGAUUAUCAAUAUAAUAUUUCAAUUUAAGUAUAAAAGCAAUAUUUUAAAAACACCCUAAUUAUACUUAAGUGCUAUCCACAAAUUUUAUCCACUAUGAAUAAUUCUUAGAAAUUGUGAUUAAAUGUAAAGUGGGAAUGACUCCAAGCCCCUUAACUAAUUUUGCUUUGCCUGGUCCACGCGGAGAGUUUCAGUGUUGACAUGUUGCAAUAGACAAUGCAGAAAUGAACUUAUUUUGCAAGGACAUCAAAUCCCUUACAUAAGCUGUGAAGUUAUUGUUCUUAGUUGGAGUAUGCUACACCGACAUGUGUUUUCUAACAUAAAAUUUGACUAAAUAAUCAAAUAUGAAAAUGGAUAAUAUGUUAUGACCUUAAUUAGGUUAGUGCACUUAGCAAUCAGAACAAGUAUGAUAAAAACAAUAAUAUUUUUCACAUUUUGAGUUGUGGUUAAAAAUAGUGAAGUAAUAAUUUUUCUGCCUUUAGAUCAUUACAACUCAAUCUGUAUUUUCAAAUAUUUAAUUAGAUGUUAACCCGUGGGAGGCACGGAUUUUUUGUUGAAAAAUAUUAUAGUCAACUUAAUUAAAAAGAUUUGAAAGGCCUUUUAUCUCAUUGAAAAAUAAAUAAUAUAAAGGUCGUGAAUAUUAUGAAUAAAAAUUUGAGAGUUUACAAUGGUAUAUUUAUAUUUAUCGUCAAAUAAAAUUGAUUUUCAUCACGCAGUUUGUGAGAUCAAACAAUAAAUUUAUUUUUAUUAACAGUCUAGAUAUUUUAAUAUUCAAAGUUUAAAAUAAGUAAACAAGAGAGUAUGACUACUGAGUUUUCUUUAAAUUUGCAAUCAUAUAGUAUCAUUUUUCGACAUAUAUAUUGUUCUUAAAUGGUUGGUAGUUUCUUAAUCUAUUGCAAUGUUAAAGAUGAUUUAAUACUAAAUAUUCAAUGAUCUUUAAUAUAUGGUAAACUAUACUUGACUGAACUAUUUAUUGAUUUGAUGUUGGCCUUACAAUGCAUGCAGAGUUCCCCUUACAUACUAGCACUUGCCAUAAGGCAUUUGUAUGAACCAAUUGGCUGUUAUUUACGGGAAAGUUCAGAACAGAGCUCAGAAUUGCAGCAAAUGCUCCCUCACAUUCAUUUAAGUUUGCUGCAUAUUAAGUAGAAGAUGUAGCAGUGGUAGCACAGUACAAAUUAUUUCUGGUAGUGUCUAACCUCCAUAACAUUUUCACAAAAAUAGGAAUUAGUCCAAGCUUUUGAUUCCUACAACACAUUAUUUGAAAUAG
rnacentral:lncRNA from 1 species